rnacentral:rRNA from 1 species
GUGAGGUAACGGCUCACCAAGGCGACGACGGGUAGCUGGUCUGAGAGGACGAUCAGCCACACUGGGACUGAGACACGGCCCAGACUCCUACGGGAGGCAGCAGUGGGGAAUCUUGCGCAAUGGGCGAAAGCCUGACGCAGCGACGCCGCGUGGGGGAUGAAGGCCUUAGGGUCGUAAACCCCUUUCAGCAGGGACGAAGAUGACGGUACCUGCAGAAGAAGCCCCGGCCAACUACGUGCCAGCAGCCGCGGUAAGACGUAGGGGGCGAGCGUUGUCCGGAAUUAUUGGGCGUAAAGGGCUCGUAGGCGGUUCGGUAAGUCGGAUGUGAAAACUUGGGGCUCAACCCUGAGACGCCAUCUGAUACUGCUGUGACUUGAGUUCGGUAGAGGAGUGUGGAAUUCCUGGUGUAGCGGUGAAAUGCGCAGAUAUCAGGAGGAACACCUACGGCGAAGGCAGCACUCUGGGCCGAGACUGACGCUGAGGAGCGAAGGCGUGGGUAGCAAACAGGAUUAGAUACCCUGGUAGUCCACGCCGUAAACGGUGGGCACUAGGUGUGGGGCCUUAUCAACGGAUUCCGUGCCGAAGCUAACGCAUUAAGUG